CUGAAAAUAAACCAGAGGAGAACCAAGAGAGAACUGCACAGGCGUCAAGGACAAAUGAAGUAAGACGACAACAGAAUUACGUCACCAUGGAGCGGCCAAGUGGAGCUGAGAAUAAACCAGAGGAGAACCAAGAGAGAACUGCACAGGCGUCAAGGACAAAUGAAGCAAGACGACAACAGAAUUACGUCACCAUGGAUCG